rnacentral:rRNA from 1 species
GAUGAACGCUGGCGGCGUGCUUAACACAUGCAAGUCGAACGGUGAACACGGAGCUUGCUCUGUGGGAUCAGUGGCGAACGGGUGAGUAACACGUGAGCAACCUGCCCCUGACUCUGGGAUAAGCGCUGGAAACGGCGUCUAAUACUGGAUACGAGUAGCGGCCGCAUGGUCAGUUACUGGAAAGAUUUUUUGGUUGGGGAUGGGCUCGCGGCCUAUCAGCUUGUUGGUGAGGUAAUGGCUCACCAAGGCGUCGACGGGUAGCCGGCCUGAGAGGGUGCCCGGCAACACUGGGACUGAGACACGGCCCAGACUCCGACGGGAGGCAGCAGUGGGGAAUACUGCACAAUGGGCGAAAGCCUGAUGCAGCAACGCCGCGUGAGGGAUGACGGCCUUCGGGUUGUAAACCUCUUUUAGCAGGGAAGAAGCGAAAGUGACGGUACCUGCAGAAAAAGCGCCGGCUAACUACGUGCCAGCAGCCGCCGUAA